AACGAACGCUGGCGGCGUGCCUAACACAUGCAAGUCGAACGAGAAGUACGUAGCAAUACGUAUUGUAAAGUGGCGAACGGGUGAGUAACACGUGGGUAACCUGCCCUCGAGUUUGGGAUAACCCCGCGAAAGCGGGGCUAAUACCGAAUAAGACCACGGGGACCAAAGUCCCUGGGGUAAACGACGGCCUCUAUUUAUAAGCUGUCACUUGAGGAUGGGCCCGCGGCCCAUUAGCUAGUUGGUAGGGUAACGGCCUACCAAGGCGAAGAUGGGUAGCUGGUCUGAGAGGACGAUCAGCCACACUGGAACUGAGACACGGUCCAGACUCCUACGGGAGGCAGCAGUGGGGAAUAUUGCUCAAUGGGCGAAAGCCUGAAGCAGCAACGCCGCGUGGGGGAUGAAGGUUCUCGGAUUGUAAACCCCUUUCGACCGGAACGAAUCCCCUCCUGGUGAACAAUCAGGAGGGUCGACGGUACCGAGAGAAGAAGCCACGGCUAACUCUGAGCCAGCAGCCGCGGUAAGAC
rnacentral:rRNA from 1 species